UGGCCMARAAAARWUUACCGUGAAAAAAUUAGAGUGUUCAAAGCAGGCAGAUCCAAUUUUCUGCCACCGAAUACAUUAGCAUGGGAUAAUGGAAUAGGACCCUGUCCUCCUAUUUUCAGUUGGUUUUGGCAGCGCGAGGACUAGGGUAAUGAUUAAUAGGGAUAGUUGGGGGCAUUAAUAUUUAAUUGUCAGAGGUGAAAUUCUUGGAUUUAUGAAAGAUUAACUUCUGCGAAAGCAUCUGCCAAGGAUGUUUUCAUUAAUCAAGAACGAAAGUUAGGGGAUCGAAGACGAUCAGAUACCGUCGUAGUCUUAMCUUAUAKGCGAUGCCGACCAGCGAUUAGGAGACGUUGAACUUUCCCUCCCCCAUUGCCCMGUCGUCCYSSCGUMGCGKUYCCCCCGCARCUYGUGAGAUGUKGCCCSAUUMGGRAACCCYUAG
rnacentral:rRNA from 1 species